rnacentral:rRNA from 1 species
AUUGAACGCUGGCGGCAGGCCUAACACAUGCAAGUCGAACGAAGUCUUCGGACUUAGUGGCGGACGGGUGAGUAACACGUGGGAACGUGCCUUUAGGUUCGGAAUAACUCAGGGAAACUUGUGCUAAUACCGAAUGUGCCCUUCGGGGGAAAGAUUUAUCGCCUUUAGAGCGGCCCGCGUCUGAUUAGCUAGUUGGUGAGGUAAAGGCUCACCAAGGCUACGAUCAGUAGCUGGUCUGAGAGGAUGACCAGCCACAUUGGGACUGAGACACGGCCCAAACUCCUACGGGAGGCAGCAGUGGGGAAUCUUGCGCAAUGGGCGAAAGCCUGACGCGGCCAUGCCGCGUGGAUGAUGAAGGUCUUAGGAUUGUAAAAUCCUUUCACCGGUGAAGAUAAUGACUGUAGCCGGAGAAGAAGCCCCGGCUAACUUCGUGCCAGCCGCCGCCGUAAGAC